CAAGACCAGAGCUUGAUGUACCAGGUUGCUAACCCUGCAAACCUAUCCAGAAGCCUGAUAAAAACCUUUUGCAAAGACAGGCAAUGCCUGGCUCUCCUGAUGGUGCACUCUGAGCGUGGUGGAGUCAGCUAGCGAGGAAAGAAGACGUCACUGCAUCUGCUCCACAUUAAAGGAAUCAGUUCAACAGUUGAGAAAUGAGUAAGCAUUAAAACCACAUUUCCCAGGGCCCAGCCGCUCCAAAGUUACAAGAUGAGCCUUCCGCAGCAACUUUCUCUCUGAGAGCUGUAACAGACUGACUCCUGAGACAAAUUCCACUGUUUUUUUAAAAUAUUUUAUUAAUAAUCCAUUAGUUAAGGAAUAUAAGGACAAUGUCUUCUUACACUUUAACACUAAAGAGUAUUCGUGGAGUAAGAACAGUCUCUGAAGAAAGAAAGUUAUAAUUAAGUACAGCAUGGAACCAAAUACAGACACAAUCUUCAAACAAGAUCAAGUUCUGGUUACACGUCCUUAUGCACUGUGUAGAAAGUUAAAUGAAAUUUAAUUUUAAAAUAUUAUCGAGGGAAUACAGUAACAGAACGAGAUGGUGGAUUUCUGCUGGACUAAAGCCCUCUUUUCUAACAAGGGUAUUGAUUAGAAAAGACAAAAUGAUCCCUUCAAGACAUCUAUUUCUAAUGAGACCAAAAACAUAUAUAGCAAUGUACUGAAGUGGUUGUUUUCUUAUACAGCAUGUUUCAUGGGCUGAUCUCAGGAUUAUUAGGCUAGUAACAUAAAA